GAGGCGCAGCGAGCUCCGCCUCUGGGCCGCGCCGGGGCUGCCGGGGCGGAGGAGAGCCGCGGGCAUGGCGGCGUCCGCGGCGCUGCAGAGGACUGUGGUGGUCCCCGCGGGCCGGCACACCGCCUCCGUCGUCUUCCUGCACGGCUCAGGUGAUACUGGCCAAGGAGCAAGAACAUGGAUAAAAGAAAUUUUGAAUCAAGACAUGGCUUUCCAACACAUAAAAGUAAUUUACCCCACAGCUCCUGCCAGGCCUUAUACACCUAUGAAAGGAGCCCUUUCCACUGCCUGGUUUGACAGAUACAAGAUCUCCAAUGACUGUUCAGAACACAUUGAAACCAUUGAUUCUAUGUGCCAUCAACUUACAGAUUUGAUCAAUGAUGAGAUUAAAAAUGGCAUCGCAAAGAAUAGGAUACUAGUAGGAGGCUUUUCAAUGGGAGGUGGAAUGGCCAUGCAUUUAGCAUAUAGGUUUCAUCGAGAUGUGGCAGGCGUCUUUGCGCUUUCUAGUUUUCUCAAUAAAGAAUCUGCUGUUUACCAGGCUUUGAACAGAAAUGAAGGUGUCCUUCCAGAAUUAUUUCAGUGUCAUGGAACAGCUGAUGAACUAGUUCUUUGCUCUUGGGGCGAAGAGACCAACAAGAUGUUAAAGUCACUAGGAGUGUCAGUGUCACUCCACACUUUUCCAAACCUUAAUCAUGAAUUAAGCAGAGCUGAAAUAGAAAAGCUAAAAACCUGGAUUGUAAAGAAAUUGCCCAUUGAAGUAGCAAAGACAAAUGAAUAGAAGAUACAGCUUUCAUGUACUCUUUGAUUUUUGAUUUUUUUUAAGGUCAUGCAUGACAAAUGGGUGUCCCCUACACAUUAUCUAAAUAAAGCUUCAGAGUGAAAGAGAAAACCAUGAUUAAAGAUACACUUCUGUACAUAACUUUAAAUAAUAACAUACAAAAUUUUGGUUCCAAGCGUGCAUCUCUGUCAGUUGAGCUAUUGGAGAUACAACAACAUUAACUGGAAAGAAGAAGGCUCUGUGCUGAUCUGGAGAAGGCAGACGCAAUUAGUUGGCAUACUAUUUAUGUUCUUAGUAAUUCUUCCAAUGUUUUUAUUAUUAUUUUUCAAACCUAGAAUAGGUUUAAUACAAACUUUUAAUACCACUUAAAAAUAUAGCUGAAGUAACUGAGUGAGUAAAACCAUUCAGAUUGAUGUUACUUUGUUGAAGCUUGUUACUGUUUUGGGGAAAAAACAUAAUUCAGUGAGCAAAAGAAAAUGAGUUUAAUUUAAACUUUAACUCUCUUGGGCUUAGUGUGUUCUGUACUGCUUCAGAAACAAAGCACUAGUGUGUGGACUUUUUUUGUUUUUUAAUCUUCUGACAUUACACAUUUGUAUUUCAGACAUUUGAAAUUUGUGACUAGAUCAGUGCUGUGAACUCGGGUGCUUUCUGAGUAAUUUAUGUGGUAGUAUAGACAUGUAGAGCCAGAGAGCAAGUGUAAAUAGGGCAGAAAUCAGCUGAUCAAUAUGGGAAGCCAAAAAUCAUUGGUAACAUAAUUUUGACAUUAAAAUAAGUUCUCUACUUAAAUUAAUCUCUUCUCCUGUUAAAUCUUUACACUCUAGCUUUUUUAGUAAAUCAUCUUUAAAGCCGUUUAACAAGUCUCUACAGAUGAAGUGAGCCAAGUGGGUGAAUGUAACUUGUAUUUAUAAAGAUGAGAUCCAGAUGGCAAAACAUGGAAAUGGGAACCUAGUGGAGUAUGUUAGAAUGAAAUUUGUUAAGACAUAGAUGGAGGAAAGCAUUAGGAGUUUACUUUCCAGUUGACACAUAUUCUAAGACAGUCAAGAAGUUUAUUUGGGAGAUCUUCAAAGAAAAACCUCUUCUGUGAAUUUUUCAACUUGAGUCAGCCUUCAUUUGUGAUGCAGCUGGUUAAAGGUGCUUCAGAGAAAGGAAAUAACAUAAGUGCCAAUACAUGCAGUUUCCUACCCUUUUUUUUUCCCCCCCAUUGGCCAUACCCAAUAUCACUACUCAGAAGAAACAGCUGUCAGUUCUAUUUUCAAUAUCAGAUUGCCUGCUCGAGUGUUUCCUUAUAUGCUGCCAUGGGACUUUACUACAUCCUGUUCAUGUUCUUACUUGCAGACUGAUCAGUAGCACUCACCCAGAAUGUGAGAGAGAAUUGCUUUUCCUGUAUGAAGCUGUGAGUGAGAAUAUUUGUCUUUACAAAUGAGAGUUAGAAGAAAAAGGCAGUGGUACCUCUACCCCCAUUUUGUACUUCAGCGCUUAGAGUGUUAGCUUUAGACAUGAGACACCUGGAUUUAAUUCCUCUGCCCAUCUGAGCAUGUUCACCAGUGUUCCAGGCCUUGCUCCAUUACUUAAACAGUCAAUUUAUCAAAUGUCUUCUAACUACAGACCAUGAAAUCUCUCGCUAGAGCAGAGACAGUAUUCCAGGUUUAACCUUGCUUAGGUGAGUACCUGGGAAAGAGUUACGUUUGUGCUCCGUCUCUCUCUUAAUGACUGUUACUACAAUUGGAGUAGAGAAGACAGAGCAACUCAUCCUGCAUCAGUCUAGGCAGGGUUUUUUUCAAAAAAAUGCGUGUAAAAUGAGCAUUAAACAUUAUUCUUUGAUCACGUGACAUUCUUCAAUCAGUGACAAGGAAGUGAGAUUCCUGAGAAUAAAGCCAAUGAGAUUUUGUAAACUGAGCCUUAAAACAUAGUGAAGACAGCCAAAAUAGGUCAGAGAGAGUACGCUUCUGACUUUUCCACUACAAUAUGCGGUUGGUAUUUUGUGGUUCAAAGGUAUGAUGCAUAGGGUUCUUUAAAGUGCUUAUUGUUUUAAGUUAAAUACAGUACUGCGGAGUAAUAAUUAAUACUGUGAUGCACAGAAUAAAACCGCAGAAGAAUUAAUUGUUUGCUUGUGUGCUCUUUGUGUAGUUGAAGGAGUUUGUUAGAAUACGUACUGGUAGACAUAAAGCACAUCAGAUUGUAGUUGCAUACACAAGCAAUCAAGAGACAUAACUAUCAUGUACACAGCAGAGAAUUAAUAGAAUGACUUCUGCUGGUUCUCGGCCUUUAUAGUAUGCAAAACUACAAAACACUAAAUCAGACUGCAAGGCUUACCUGUGGUAAUAGUUGAUCUUGGUGUAAAAAAAAAUCCUCCCUAGGGCUUAUUUCAGCCAAAUAGUGAUAACUCAAGCAUGUGACCAACCCCUGCUGACUUAGAUCCCAUAGUUCCCACUGAUUGAUCUAUGUAGAAAGUCUGGCUUCAACGAUGGAGUUUGUUUUAUUUUAGUUUGAAGGGUUUGGGGUGAAAUUCCUAAUGUAGCCAAGGUCUUACGGGGGGCAGCCAAAAUAAUUAUGAACCCUGGUCACAGUAGUAUGCCAAAAAUGUAAAAGCAGUGAUUUAAUACUUCCAGAGUAAUAAGAAUGGUUGAAUGCUCUACCAUCCUUCCCUUUUCAUGGCUGUGACUUGUAAUUGAUAAUCUUUAGCCUGGUUAGGAUAUGCCUGUAUCUGAUGAAAGUUGCUCUUUUAUGUUUAGUUUUUCAUAAAGUUUUAGUUAAAAUCAUUUGCUAGUUAAUGUGAUAUAUCAUUCUAGCAGCAAACUUCAUUUAUACUUAAAACAAAAUGGAGCUUCCCUUCAUUCUGUUUGCGUUGCAGAAAUAUUAAUGAGUAAUUGGUAACUUUCUGACCAAGAACUAUUGCAUUGCCCUCAGUAGAAUUUUUCCAGAUAUGCAGUCAUUCAAAUCGAGCCCCUGAUGUUCACAUUUUGGGUGGUCCCGUUUGACUUAAGCCUUGACCCUCCACCUUUCAGAGAAAUUAAUGUUUUUCAGUGUUUCUACUGAACAGAUUACAGUCUAAAUCAGCUGAAUAAAUGCCUAAUGAGGAGCUUGUGUGUUUGAAAAUGGGAGAAAUCCUUUCUGUGGUAUGCAUCAGGGUAUUUUCUAGUCAGUAGCAUUUACAGGUGCCUCUCUGUCACCUUUCCUUCUCCCCUGGUUUGGGAAGGGAGAGGAAGGUUGUUUAGAAGUAGAUUCCCUCUGCUAUUAAGCAGUUUGUGGAAAAACUUAGGAUCCCCUGACACAGUUUACACUUCAGAACCACGUUGAUUUUGUUUUGUAGGAAGAGAUUUUUGUAUUUUUAUUAUUGCCACCUGCUGCAGGUACAGAGGUGAUGUGAAGUGCUGUCUGCUCAUUUAAAAUUUAAUUAAUUAAUGAAGCAGACCAAAGAUGAAGGACAGUGCUGCAUGUAUUUUAAAUUGUACGUUGACUUAUUUUUUGGAAACAGUGUAGUCCAUGCUUCCAUUUGUAUUUAUAAUUUAGCAUGACUCAUAACCAGAAGUCAGAACUGUCCUGAUGAAAAGAGAAGACUGUGAUACUAAGAUUAUAAGUGCCAAGGCAUAUUUUGUAUAUUGAAAGCUGACAAAAAAGACAAUUUGCAGAAGUUUCAGUAAGUGCAUCAUUAAAUCAUCCUUGGCUCCUUCUCAAAUGUUUUUUUUUUUUUUUUAAAUGAUGCUUCUCUAAGCAAAAAUAUAAACAUCUGAAACACUGAAGGUGACUUUCUUGGAAGAACUAUUUUUUUCCCCACUAAGGAAAUGUAUUUUUUUCUGAAGAUAUCCAAUUGAUUAAUGCCAGACCACAUGGAAUUAUUAAAUGAAAUCCUCAAGAUGUUCUAUUGUUUUUAUAGCACAAUUCAGUCACCAGUGUUUUUCUGUAUGUGAAAAUAUUUGGCAGCUUUGUUGACUAGAUAGGCAACGGUAUGUGAAUUUUGCAUUUUAUAUAAGGGCCCUUGUUUCACAUUGAAGAUUUAGGGGUUAAAUGUUCAGUUAAAAGAGUAACUAAGUGAGUGCCUUCAUAAUUUCUAUAGGGUGUCAUGAGAAAUGAGAGUCUCUCAUCAUCCCCCACUCUACAAGAACUGGACAUGCAUGUUGCUUUUCGUAAAAGCAUUUUCAGAUGCAGCAAGCUCUCAAGUUUGGAAUUAUCUGUGGUCCUGUUGGCCUCAAGAACUCGCUGCAUUGCCAAUACGGAGAUUAGGUAUGCUCUCCCUGAAUUAGAAGAAAGUUCCAUCUUCUUAGCGGAACCGCUUACUACAUUUGGCACAAGCAGCAUUGAGAAACAUACGUAUUGUAUAAAUUCCCUUUUUGAAGCACUACCAGUACUUUGGUUAAGCCACUGUAAAACUACUGGUAUGCAUUUGUUCAUAGUUUGGAAAAUACUGUUUUCAUUACAGUAAACCAAUAUAAACAUCAGCAAUAUUCCUAUCAAAUAAAUUAGUUCUCAUGCGAAAUGUAUGGUAAGUAAAUUUGUUGCGUAGCUGAAUACAGUAUUAUUUAAUGGAACUUGACUUGGUGCCAACCAAACAUAUGGAUCUUUAAAUACAUUCCCCGUGUGGCUAUGCUGAAAUCAUCCACCAAUAACAUGUGCUGAAUUCCAUUCCAGACUUGCAGGCUGGCUGCCCUUAUUGUAUGAAGUUUUGAAAUAUAACAAAUAAUGUUGGUGGAAAAAAAUCAAAAUAAUUUUUCAGUGCAACAGUUUCUGUUUUGUUAAAAUUAUUUUUCAAAGAAUUUUUACUUGACUAAAGUUUUUCUUCCCUCCUCUCUCCACUUCCGCCUGGAAGAGUUUUAUCUUUAAAAACCACAGAGGCUUUUUUGUUCCUUUGAGGUUUUUGUCUCCAUUUCUUUCUUCUACUUCUUUCUUUUUUUUCAUUUUACCAGUGAAAUUGAUAAAAGAAAGGGAGAAUGGGGAGAUAAAGGGAAGGCAGGGGAGGACUGGGAAAUACUUUUCUUGCCUUUUUCCAGUAUUAAAAUUUACUACUAUUGGGAUAAGUAAUAUUUCUGAAAAAUGAAUUUUUCAGAAAUGCUAUCCAUUUUUUUUCAUUUAGUUGUGACAAUCUAUGUUCUUUGUCAGGAGGGAAUGUUGGGCAAAUUACUUCAGCCAUCACAUUUUUAACUACAGAAUUUUAAUGGAAUAACAUAAUAGGUUACAUUACACAUGCAGCAGAAAUAAUAACAUACAUCUGUGUCUUCUAAGCACUACUUAUAUUUACUGUUGUGUAAAGCUGUAUUUGAAAUUAGUGUCAUUUGCUUGUAGUGAAACAGGCAAGUGUCAGGAAGUUUAACAUGGUAUUCCUCUGUAGCAAUCUGCUUUAAGGUGGGCUUUAAAAAUGACUAUACUGUAAUUAUCUUAAGUCAUUUAAAUUUAAUUUAUUUCACUGCAAUUUUUUUAGAACUUUCCCUUCGUACUUAAUCAAAUAUUAAUGUUUGCAGAAUUGCUGAGAAUGAUGGGCCUCAUUUUACUCUAUCAAAUUCCCUCCAGUGCUAUAACCACAAGUGAAUAUGUUGUAAUGAUUUACAUGUAUAACGUGUGUGUGUGUGCUAAUGUCUCUUGUAGACAGAAUUGUGUUUUGGCUUACAGAGAUAGUUAAAUGGCACAAAUUAUGUCCCCAAAUUCUUGCCCCACAUCAUAUGCAGAAUUUUGAAUGAGCUUAACUUCUGGUUGGCUGGCCAAAUUUGGUAGGAUUGUGGCACACCGAACCUACUAACAUUCAAAAAUAGCUUAACAAACAUCCAGAUCCAGGCACUAUUUUGAGACCACCUUGGAAGAACUUGGCUUUCGAGUGCAGCAGGAAAAUAAAAAGUUCUUUCAAUAAAUAAUUAGGAGGAUCUGUUAAUGCUAUACAGAGUAGAACAGAGUUAUCUGUGCCAGUUCCUUCUGUAAAUUGGUGUAGCUCCAUUGGGACCAGUAGAAGCAUGCCAAUAUACAUCAGCUGAGGACCUGACAUUAGUGGAGUUACUGUGGAUUUGACCCCGUGCCAGCUGAUACUCCUGGAUAGUAAGUACAUCAAGUAGCAGAGGAUGUUGAAGAGUCAAUUCAGCAAUGUAAUUUUAAGCCUUGAGAAAAUGUAGGUGAAAUGGUAGCAAGCUGCUGACAGCCAGGGAUGGAUGACCUGUGUUGCAAUUAUACAGCAACCAAUGGCAAACUAAAAGAUGUUCUUAUUCUCUUAUAAACAGAAUUAGGGGCUAAUUAUAGAAUCACUGAUGUAACAGGAACAUCCUGACUGACCAUUAUUGUCAUAUUCAUAGUUGUAAGUGUGGUAAAUUAAAAGGUCUAUUUUCCUUGCUUUCUGCAUACAAAUUCCAUUUCAUAAUAUUUUUAGCUAUUUCAGGGAGGUUACUGCAGUCCUUCCGUGAUUAAACUUAGUCAUCAGUUUCUUGACUAGUAACCCACUCAGGGACUGCCUAUAAUAGUAUUGCUUCAUUUAGUUAUUUCUCUUGAAAAUUUCUUAGUUAAAGGUGAGGUGUGGUCUGGAGAACCUCAAGUACCCAUUAGUGUUCUGUGCAGCUAAAACAAUCUCCUGUGUAUUGUGUAAAAUCUGGGGGAAUGAGGAGAAGAAACAGCCUGUGUGGACAUUUGAGUCUUAGAUGUUGUAUUUUUACAGUGCAGUAUGGAGCAGUAUUUAGGUAGCAUGUGCAGUUUAUUUAUGGUAACAAUGUGCUCUGUGGGGCACCAUCCAGAGCAGUAACAAGAACAGGGAAAUCAUGCUGCAGGAAGCCUGUGCUGGGGUGAGAAAACACAAAUGUGCUGGCAGAAAGCCCUGUUGUGGGGGAGUUUGAAGCCACUUUAGAGGAUGAGUACUCCAGGUGAGGAUGCAGCGCAGCAGCAUGGUUACUUCUGACCCCUGUAGCACCAGCAGGCAAUAUCUACAGUAUGUAUCUCUCUGUGUGGUUCAGUGACUUCACUGUGUAGAGCCAAGUUCACUCAUAACAUGUUCGCUCAUACAAAAAUUUAUGUAUGUCUUGACAGAUUAGUGCAUUUUGUCUUCAAUCUUAUACUUAGGCCCAUGUUUCUACAAGUCUUUCAUUUCUAAAGUCGCUUCUGCAUGUCUCAAGCUGUCUCCACGUGUCUCAAGCCAUCUGUCUAAUUGACAACUGACCUGUUCCAAGACAAAAUCAAACUUUUAGCGGUCUUGCAUAAGAGAUCAUUUAAGCUGAUUUGGUUGACUUUGCUCUGAAGUGGAUUUGGGAUGCUCACCCUGAGCUGUUUGGUCUUAUUUGGGAAGAGGUGUCUAGUCCAUUUCUGAAAUUGUUUUCAGAUCAGAGCCCAGCUCCUCUGGGAACUGUCUGGGAUUCAUCUCUCAGUAGAAGUGUAGAAGUAGUAGAAUCCUAGUGAUCAAGUAAUGUUUAUUGUGCACCAGCGUAUUUGGCAUGUGGAUGACUUAGGUAUCACAUCUCAAGUCAGCAUCAGAUUAAUAUGAACCUGUCAACAAGCUGCUGCUAUGGUUGACUGCAGGUAGGUAAUGAUACUGUUCAGUCAGUAAUAAGCUGGGUUUAACUUGCACAAGCCAAUGUGGAAAUAAAAUUAUCUGGGUUUCAAAUCCAUUUGGAUCCAGAGUUGCAACCUCAGGUGUACUGAGUGAGAUAGUGUCAUAGUGUUAUGCUUGGGAAAUGGUCUCAGAGGAUUUAAACUCUUUGGAAGAAAAAUGGCAAUAUCCUUGGUUUCAUAUCAUUAGUGAACAUGCAGUAUUUUUAUUGUGAGAAUCAACAGCAGUAAAUGAAACUGUGAGCCAGAUGAUAGUGUUUGAGUUGACAGACAGUAUUUGGGAAGCAGAUAUCACAGGGAUAAGCUUGAUGCAAUUUGAGGCAUGGCUGGAGAGGGUGAGGGGAAACACCACAGACUGUGAAUAAUCAGCAGAGGAAAGAUCCUGGGGCCUGUAACCUAAGUCCAGCAAAGACAUAAUAUUUAUAGGAGCCAAAGGGGGAGCAGAAGAUGUCAGAAGCCUUUAAGGGGGGCAGAAGGUAAUGAUAUUUUCCUCCAGCACCACUUGGAGAUAAGCCUAUCUUUAUGAAAGAAUCAGCAAGACCUUAUUUUAUAUACAUCACAAAUUUUAAAUGCUGUAUCGGCUGAUCUCUUUGCCAAAUACAAAAUCUACUCUGAAGCUUUUCAAAGCAUCAGAAUCUUUUAAAUUAUAAGUCAAUGUUUUUGCACUGUUUUGAGAUUACCAUAAAACCCGAGCCUUUGUGAUAAGCUACUGCAGAAAUGACUAGAGGCCAAUAAUUUUUGUUAAUAAUCUCAGGAGAAAUUUCUAAUUCUUCCUGAAAAGACUGGAAAAUUGUUUCCUAAAUUCUGUUCAAACCAGUGUAAAUUAUUCUGGCAAUAAUCUCAAUUUUUGGUUGUAUAGGGAGCAAUUCUUUAGGUAAAGGUUAGAAUAUUGCUAAUUAAAAGACACUUGGAAAUAUAUUAGUUUAGCAUAGCAAAGUAAAACAAAAGUCACAUUGAAAAAGAGAAAUUGCUCUCUUUAGUUUCUCUAUCCUGAAUAAAAUGUGGAAAAUAAAUCAAUUGCAUAAUGGGAUAAAUGCAGUGUUACAAACUCACCAUUUUGUUGUGAGUUUCAUGAUUUUUUGAUGUAUUUCUUAAAGCUCUAGCUCCUAUACAGUCAUGUGAGGUUUUCUUGGCAUAUUUUAUAAAAUAAGUUUUUAGGCCAUAUGAUUGCAAGAAACGUUUGAAAAUGUACUCUAAAAACUCUAGAAAUACAGAUUGAAAAAGCACCCAAACUCCAAACAUUCUUCAGUAAAAAUAAAGUGAUCUUUAAGUUGGUCUCAAGAUUUGGAGGUAAGUAGGAAUAUCUGGUUCAAUUUCUUUAAGCAUAUGAGAUAGACAAUGCUGGAAGUAUAUACUGCAUAUUCAAAAACCUUUCUUUUUUUUUUUUAAUAAACCUGAAGUCACCAAGGUUCCAGUACUCUAUAUCGAGUGAGGUUCUGUUACAGCGUGUUUCCACUGGCUUUAGUGAGCCUGCUACAGAUAAAGGUAUUGGGUGAUGAUGUUGGCAUCUGCCAAUAGUAGCAAGAAGGGUAACAGCAAAUUUAAAACACAGCAGAGAAGUUAAAGUUAAUAUUGUCCAUCCUCUUUAUGUUUGAGCGCUGAGUUUCACCACUAGCUUCAAAACAGAUUAGCCAACCUCAAGAUAAAUAUUUGCUGCGUAGCAUACCCAGGUGGAUCCAAAAUUUAGAUUAAGCUGAUGAGGCUUCAUGCGUGAGAAACUCUUACUGAUGUACUUAGAAAAUGUUUAGGCCAAAUGCCUUAUCUUCAUGCAGAAAGAAUUAGAAGCCAGGUUUCAUUAGCGUUUACCUAAGUAUUUUAGAUGUGCUGGAGUGUGAGUCUGGAAAGAGUUUGAUGUCAUCAUACAAGUAGACAAACAAGGGGUUUAGAGAAAGGACUGAGAAGAGAAGGAAAGAUUCUAGCAGCACUUUAAAGACCCUUUGGAGCUAGACUCGUAACAAACAUCCGUUACUCUGUUCCUUUGUGAUUACAAACCUGCUGUAAACAGAAACUUCAGCAUUUACUAGCAUGGUGCCCUGCAAGUGGAAUUAAUAGGGAAUAUAGCACCUGAUUUUCCAGCUUCUUUUUGUAUUUUUAUUUGCAAGAGUAAAAAGCACUUUUAGGGGCACUAUGAAAGAUCAUUUCCUCUGUUCCUGCUAUACUGUUGUUUAACCUGUUAUUGAUCAAUUCACUGCAUGACUUCGCUGCUAUGUAUUUACAAAAAAGAAAUUUUUACAGACAUGUAACCUGAAACACUUUUCUGCAAGUAAACUAAUUGUUUUCUUA